rnacentral:rRNA from 1 species
CAGCAGCCGCGGUAAGACAGAGGGUGCAAACGUUGUUCGGAAUUACUGGGCGUAAAGCGAGUGUAGGCGAUUCUGUAAGUCGGAUGUGAAAGCCCCGGGCUCAACCCGGGAAGUGCACUCGAUACUGCAGAGCUAGAGUACUGGAGAGGUGGGUGGAAUUCCGAGUGUAGAGGUGAAAUUCGUAGAUAUUCGGAAGAACACCAGUGACGAAGGCGACUGACUGGACAAGUAUUGACGCUGAGGUGCGAAAGCGUGGGGAGCAAACAGGAUUAGAGACCCGAGUAGUCCCUGUCUCUUAUAC